AUUGAACGCUGGCGGCAGGUCUAACACAUGCAAGUCGAGCGGAUGAAGGGAGCUUGCUCCUGGAUUCAGCGGCGGACGGGUGAGUAAUGCCUAGGAACCUGCCUGGUAGUGGGGGAUAACGUCCGGAAACGGGCGCUAAUACCGCAUACGUCCUGAGGGAGAAAGUGGGGGAUCUUCGGACCUCACGCUAUCAGAUGAGCCUAGGUCGGAUUAGCUAGUUGGUGGGGUAAAGGCCUACCAAGGCGACGAUCCGUAACUGGUCUGAGAGGAUGAUCAGUCACACUGGAACUGAGACACGGUCCAGGCUCCUACGGGAGGCAGCAGUGGGGAAUAUUGGACAAUGGGCGAAAGCCUGAUCCAGCCAUGCCGCGUGUGUGAAGAAGGUCUUCGGAUUGUAAAGCACUUUAAGUUGGGAGGAAGGGCAGUAAGUUAAUACCUUGCUGUUUUGACGUUACCAACAGAAUAAGCACCGGCUAACUUCGUG
rnacentral:rRNA from 1 species